UUCAUUGAUAUAUUUGGCAUGCACGUAGACACAAAAAUGCUCUAUGUGGAUGCACACUAACCUUUCCCUGUUAUUAUUACAUGCAUCCCAUGAAUUUAUUAGAUUGAAUAUGCCUCAUCAAUCAAAGAUGAACAUUUCAAGUUGUUUAUUUAUUUAAAUGAAGUACUGUUUAAGUCUUUAUCAUAUGAAUUCAGGGAUAAUAUUGUAAUUGUGAAAGCCAAGGCUUGUAGUUUAUGGGCAACGUGACUGUUGUAAUUGUGUGCAUCUUAUUCUUUGUCAUGUUCUCAGUUCUUAUUACUUUAUUAAGGCCUGCUUCAUAAUGUACCUAAAUGUGUGUUCUCUAUUACAGACAGAUUUUCAAAGAUUUCCGUUUUGCUGCAACUGGAUGAAGUGGACUUAUUCAGGCAGAGUUCCAGAGAAUUGUCACUACGGACCUGCUUUCAUCGUUUCUGGAUGGACUUGAUGGCCUGGCAUUGCUGGAGGUCUACAAAGGUGCAUCCAGGACUGGAAAGAAGCCGGCACUAAAAGGCCUUUUGGACUGCCUUGAGAAAGAUGACACAAAUGAGAGGAGGAGGACUGCUGCUCUCUUGGGACUAUCACACUACAUGUCUGGCGAAAAUCAGGAAAAUGUCAUCAGGAUGUGUGAUGCUCAUGGAGACACUCUCGAGGAAGCCAUGAAGGUGAUGCAAGUUGGUCUACUCAUAGGCUACGAAGGUGAAUGGGAUGCCUUUCCUAAGCAGAUCUUCAAUGUGGCAGUUGUGGUCGAGGAGACAAUUGUGCUCCACAACCUGAAAGAUGUGGCUUUGCGAUGCUUCUUGGACUAAUAUAUUGCUACAAUCUUCAGUAUACUCUGGAAAUGAAAUAUUCAUUUGAGUUUAUCCAGAGGGUUGUUAUGAAGAUACAGCCAGACCAAGCCUCUGCCAAAAUACAUGGACUAAAAAACAA